GUUUUUUUUAGUGGUCCAUCAUGGCAGUAUUGGUAAAAGUUGUUUCUGUGUGGUUUCGCAUUGCUAGUGUCAGUAAUGUCUUCUGUCAUCCAAAGAGGGAUGUCAUGGAGGAAAGUUCCCAUGUGGUUGAUGUUACCAAAUCCCAACAACCAGACCCAAACUGGAGCUAAUGAUGGUGCAAGUGAAGAUUACUGUAUGUUGUCUCCCCAAAACCAGACAACCGCUGCCCAAACUGAAAAUGCUGUAAAAAGAUGGAGCAAGUGAAUAUGACAUGGUAACUGAAUCCCCAAAACCAGACAGUGCCAUCUGCCACAGGUGGAGUAACCGUGGAGUCCAAGGAUGGGCCAAGUGAAGAUGCUGAGGUUAUCACGCCGAUACCGAAUGCCCAAAACCAGACCACCUCGGCGCACAGUAUAGGAACGGAUGGUGCAAGUGAGGAUGCAGUGUUGACCACUGUGCUGAACCUGCAAGAUGGAACCACUAACACUGGUAUUGACAUUUUACCUGUUG